AUUUUUUCUUGACCUUUUGGCUAAGGUCCAGUAUAGUCUCUGUAUCAGUUUAAUAACUGAUAUGUCCUCUAAAUGAGGACAUAUAUUACAUGGAUUUUUGGAAGAGAAAGUUAAGUAGAAGCUUUCUCCAUCCACUGCACAUACCAACCUGGUAUUGUAUGCACUACCUCUGAGAAUGGGGUACCCACU